GGAUGUGGCUCAAGUGGUAACACGCUCGCCUGGCAUGUGUGUGGCCUGGGUUCGAUCCUCAGUACCACAUACA
rnacentral:tRNA from 1 species